UGCCAGCAGCCGCGGUAAUACGGAGGAUCCAAGCGUUAUCCGGAAUUAUUGGGUUUAAAGGGUCCGUAGGCGGGCAUAUAAGUCAGUGGUGAAAUGCUGUGGCUCAACCAUAGCACUGCCAUUGAUACUGUAUGUCUCGAAUUAUUGUGAAGUGGUUAGAAUAUGUAGUGUAGCGGUGAAAUGCUUAGAUAUUACAUAGAGUACCGAUUGCGAAGGCAGAUCACUAACAAUAUAUUGACGCUGAUGGACGAAAGCGUAGGUAGCGAAUGGGAUUAGAUA
rnacentral:rRNA from 1 species